rnacentral:rRNA from 1 species
UUGAAAGGGAAACGAUUGAAGUCAGUCGUACCAGCGGGAAAUCAACCUUUCGAGUUGGGUUUUGGAGUUUUGAAGAGUGUCAAAACCUUUUGAGAUUUCAAAAUAUUCGCUCUUUUGGUGUACUUUCUCGUGGGUAGGUUAACAUCGAUUUCGAUCAUCAUAAAAGGAUUGGAGGAAUGUAGCUUCGAUCUUGUAUUGAAGUGUUAUAGCCUUUGGUAAAUGUGAUGAUUGGGAUCGAGGAUUGCAACGAAUACCCUUUUGGGCUAUCCGCCUGAUCUCUGAUACGUGGCCUUGGCAUCGAAAGCUUGCUUAUGGUAUCAAGGUAUUACGGUCAAAAGGUUAGAACGGAUUACAUUCGUUAAGGAUGUUGACGUA